AUUGAACGCUGGCGGCAGGCCUAACACAUGCAAGUCGAACGAGUGGCGGACGGGUGAGUAAUGUCUGGUAAACUGCCCGAUGGAGGGGGAUAACUACUGAAAACGGUAGCUAAUACCGCAUACCAUCGGAUGUUCCCAGCUGGGAUUAGCUAGUAGUUGGGGUAAUGGCUAACCUAGGCGACGAUCCAUAGCGUGUGUGAGAGGAUGACCAGCCAUACUGUAACUGAGACACGGUCCAGACUCCUAAGGGAGGCAGAAGUGGGGAAUAUUGCAAAAUGGGCUCAAGCCUGAUGCACCCAUGCCGAGUGUCUGAAGAAGGUUUACGGGUUGUAAAGUACUUUCAGCGAGGAGGCGGUACUCGCCGAAGAAGCACCGGCUAACUCCGUACCAGCAGCCGCGGUAAUUC
rnacentral:rRNA from 1 species